rnacentral:rRNA from 1 species
UACGAAGGGAGCUAGCGUUGUUCGGAAUUACUGGGCGUAAAGGGCGCGUAGGCGGCUCUGUAAGUCAGAUGUGAAAGCCCCGGGCUUAACCUGGGAACUGCAUUUGAUACUGCAAGGCUAGAGGAUGAGAGAGGAAAGUGGAAUUACGAGUGUAGAGGUGAAAUUCGUAGAUAUUCGUAAGAACACCAGUGGCGAAGGCGGCUUUCUGGCUCAUUACUGACGCUAAGGCGCGAAAGCGUGGGGAGCAAACAGGAUUAGAUACCCUGGUAGUCCACGCUGUAAACGAUGAGUGCUAGAUGUUGGGUGGUUUACUACUCAGUGUCGCAGCUAACGCAUUAAGCACUCCGCCUGGGGAGUACGGUCGCAAGAUUAAA